rnacentral:snRNA from 1 species
AUACUAUCCAAGGCCGUUUUGCUAAGAUCAAGUGUAGUAUCUGUUCUUCUCUGUUUAAACACUACUUCUUAAAAGAAUACUUUUAUUUUUGCUACUACAGGUUAAUGAGUAAAAGUACACACACACACACACUUU